AGCGAACGCUGGCGGCAGGCUUAACACAUGCAAGUCGAACGGGCACUUCGGUGCUAGUGGCAGACGGGUGAGUAACACGUGGGAACGUACCUUUUGGUUCGGAAUAAUUCAGGGAAACUUGGACUAAUACCGGAUACGCCCUUCGGGGGAAAGAUUUAUCGCCGAAAGAUCGGCCCGCGUCUGAUUAGCUAGUUGGUGAGGUAAUGGCUCACCAAGGCGACGAUCAGUAGCUGGUCUGAGAGGAUGAUCAGCCACACUGGGACUGAGACACGGCCCAGACUCCUACGGGAGGCAGCAGUGGGGAAUAUUGGACAAUGGGCGCAAGCCUGAUCCAGCCAUGCCGCGUGUGUGAUGAAGGCCUUAGGGUUGUAAAGCACUUUUGUCCGGGAAGAUAAUGA
rnacentral:rRNA from 1 species